GAUGAGGAAACUAAGCCUGAGAAGUUAAGGAGCCAGUUCAUCAGUGCAGUGCACAGGAAAUACCUUAUCAAGGACACAAUCUCCAACAUCGAUGGACAGCCAGGAGUUGCAGAGGAAAUACCACUUCCGGUCCAUCACCAGGUCAUAGACCAGCACCCGGCUCACAUACCUGGAGAAGGGACCCACGGUUUUGAGGAUAAGGAAGGACAGUCCUGUAGCAAUGCAAAAGCCCUCUCUGUCAAGGUCACAAGCCCUUCUGGGGCAGCUGACAUCCAAUGAUGCAGUGCUUACAGUGAUCAAGACCUGGGUAUCUCAACCCAUCUUGGGACAGCUCCAGAGCUCCCCAGCGGCGGGCCACGCUGUUGCCGGGCUGCGU